rnacentral:rRNA from 1 species
GACGAACGCUGGCGGCGUGCUUAACACAUGCAAGUCGAACGGAAAGGCCCUGCUUUUGUGGGGUGCUCGAGUGGCGAACGGGUGAGUAACACGUGAGUAACCUGCCCUUGACUUUGGGAUAACUUCAGGAAACUGGGGCUAAUACCGGAUAGGAGCUCCUGCUGCAUGGUGGGGGUUGGAAAGUUUCGGCGGUUGGGGAUGGACUCGCGGCUUAUCAGCUUGUUGGUGGGGUAGUGGCUCACCAAGGCUUUGACGGGUAGCCGGCCUGAGAGGGUGACCGGCCACAUUGGGACUGAGAUACGGCCCAGACUCCUACGGGAGGCAGCAGUGGGGAAUAUUGCACAAUGGGCGGAAGCCUGAUGCAGCAACGCCGCGUGCGGGAUGACGGCCUUCGGGUUGUAAACCGCUUUCGCCUGUGACGACGCGUGAGUGACGGUAAUGGGUAAAGAAGCACCGGCUAACUACGUG